rnacentral:misc_RNA from 1 species
GAAAUGCGAUAAGUAAUGUGAAUUGCAGAAUUCAGUGAAUCAUCGAAUCUUUGAACGCACCUUGCGCUCCUUGGUAUUCUUUGGAGCAUGCCUAUUUGAGUAUCAUGAAAUCUUCAAAGUAAAUCUUUUGUUAACUCAAUUGGUUUCUACUUUGGUAUUGGAGGUCUUUGCAGCUUCACACCUGCUCCUCUUUGUUCAUUAGCUGGAUCUCAGUGUUAUGCUUGGUUCCACUCGGCGUGAUAAGUUAUCUAUCGCUGAGGACACUGUAAAAGGUGGCCAAGGUAAAUGCAGAUGAACCGCUUCUAAUAGUCCAUUGACUUGGACAAUACUUUUAUGAUCUGAUCUCAAAUCAGGUAGGACUACCCGCUGAACUUAAGC